CUACCCCCAACACGAAGACCACGGGGACCCACACCCGGAGUCUGCCCCACUCAAUUUAAGUAAUAGUUAAUCACACUUCCAGAUUUCAGCAGGUACCGUAGCAAAGGCUGUGUCUCAGGGCACUUGGCUGUUUGAAAAUAUGGGCACAUCAACUCAGGCCAAGCCACCGAGUACAAAACCCUGGAAGACCCGGGGGCAGCCCACUUAGAUUUCACGAUCGCUCCUCUCUCCCUCGUCGGUCUUCUGAUUCUUCCUGAAGGGCAGUUUCAUUUUACCCUUUACAAAACUGAAACGUCUUAUAUGUGCUUUUUGUAAUUUUUCUGUUCAAUAAGGUUCAUGAAAUCCCACCCCUCUACUGCCCCAUUCCCAUAUUCUAUCUCCUCCCCAUAUUCUAUCAUCUCCUCCCCUGCCCACUCUGAGAGGAUUCGCCGCCUUUCUGUCGCGUCUGGACCCUUUGGAGUCCCACAUGGACAAGACAAAAUGGGCACUGCCUUUUCCUACAGGAGCGGGAGGAGCCCUCACGGCGGAGGAAACACAGGCUCACAGAGCGCAUCCCCACACACCUGAGCCCUGCCGGGUUCCAGAAAACCCAACAAAGCACUCUCUGA
rnacentral:lncRNA from 1 species